AGUCCCCAAAUGGAGGGAAGCAAAUACGCAGGGGCCGCCGCCGCCUCCCUGCCGGGCGUGUGUCCGCGGCCCGGAGGGGCGGGCAGGAGGGCGAAUCCACACGCCACCCGCUCCCCCGGCGACAGCGCGGAGUGCGAGGCAGGCGGCCGGGACCAGGGGCGCGCCGCCGGCCAGCGGCAGACGGGCGUUGGGAGAGGGGCGGCCGGGGGAGGAGAGGGGCGGCUGCUGGCUGCGGGCUACGGGGACGGUCUGGUCCCGGCGGCGGACGGGGUCCGGACUAGGGGAGGUGAGGAAGGAGGGGAAGGAGAUGAGCCCGCACCGCGCGUCACUAGCGAGAAGCUGCCGCCGCCAUCUUCACUUCUGCCCCAGUUUCUCCGUCUCGCAGGCUCCGCUCCGGAGCGGCGGGGGAGGGGCAAACGGGAGGAGGAGGAGGGAGGAGACCGGCGGGCGGGGGCGCGGCGGCGAGAGGCGGGGCUCCGGGAAACGGGCGGCAAGGCCCCCUCGAUUGGGCUGCUCAACGUUGUCGGGCCACGACGCUGUAAGGCGCGUGCCGAUUGGUCCGUUCGGCUCCCGAGCCCAGCCCCGCCGGGGGUGGGAUGUCUCCAGAGUGAGUGUUCCGGAGAGCACGUGUUAGGGAAGGAGGAGGCUGCGGGCUAACCUGCCGGGAGGGAGGAUGCUGCUGCCUGUUUCCUAUUAGUGACAACCCACCUCCUAAUCACGUCCUGCUUCAAACAAGAACACUGCCCCUUCCACCUGCGAAGAUGAAGAGUUCAAAGUCCCAGCCAGUUACUACAUUCAGCUCAAAAAACGAGACCUACAAGACUCCAUGGCCGAGUUAAUCGCUGAUGGAGCCUGAACUGAACCCAAAGCCUUCCGGUGAUUCUGAUCACACACUUGGAGCGGCUAGAGAAGACCUAGACAGAUAUAGUCAUCAAAUGGAAAAAUCCUCAACAUCCUUGUGAAUGGCAGCAUGUGAAGGCUCAGGGAAACACCAUUGCCUUUUCCUAGAUUGCUGAGAAUUUCCAGAGGCCUACGGCCAAAGCAUCUUCUUCUGUGGCAUAUGUAAGUUCAUGGAUGGAUCGCUUGCUGCCCUCAAGUGUGGUCGCUGCUCAGCACUCUGUGAACCCGGAAAGAAAUCUUAGCCCCUUAGAGUGACCAUUAAAAGCCUCUCACAAAGGAA